rnacentral:tRNA from 2 species
UCUAAUAUGACAGAUUAUAUGUAAUGGAUUUAAAACUCAUUUAUAAAGGAAAACCUUUUUUUAGAAU